GACGAACGCUGGCGGCGUGCCUAAUACAUGCAAGUAGAACGCUGAAGAGAGGAGCUUACUCUUCUUGGAUGAGUUGCGCACGGGUGAGUAACGCGUAGGUAACCUGCCUUGUAGCGGGGGAUAACUAUUGGAAACGAUAGCUAAUACCGCAUAACAAUGUAUUACACAUUUCAUUUAUUUGAAAGGGGCAAUUGCUCCACUACAAGAUGGACCUGCGUUGUAUUAGCUAGUAGGUGAGGUAAUGGCUCACCUAGGCGACGAUACAUAGCCGACCUGAGAGGGUGGACGGCCAAAAUGGGAAGGGGAAAAGGGACAGAAGGCUAAGGGAGGGAGGAGGAGGGGAACUUGGGAAAAGGGGGGAAAACUGAACGGAGAAAGCCGGGGGAGUGAAGAAGGGUGUCGGAUCGUAAAGCUCUGUUGAAAGUGAAGAAAGGGAGUGAGAGUGGAAAGUUCACAGAGUGACGGUAGCUAAACAGAAAGGGACGGCUAACUACGUG
rnacentral:rRNA from 1 species